ACAGCCACAUCAUGUUGAAACACUGGUUCCUGUAUGGUCACUGAAGUUAAGCAACAUCAAGCCUGGUAAGUAUCUAGAUGGGUGACCACAUGGGAAUACCAGGUGCUGUAA